rnacentral:lncRNA from 1 species
AGAGGACCAAUUAAACAAAUCUGAGCAACCAAUUGCAGAUUCAGAAAAUUCAAUGAGCAGCGCUGAUGAAGUCGACACUUGUACUCCACUUGAAACUAGGCAAAACAUAUGCAGGACUGCGAAUGCCAUCCGUGUACUUUCUACCUUAGGCUUCGUGGUUACCGUGGAAGUAAUAUUGGCUGUUGUAAACCUGAGCAUGUCUUUGAGUCUGGAUAUACACGAGAUGCUGGGACCAGAGUUUUAUGUGCUAGUUGCUGAGAAAGAAGCUGAACGUCGAAGCUCAUUAGGAAAAAAGAGAUGAUCAUGUUAUUUAAUUUACUUCACAAGGUUUAUACUCUUCUAUGGUCUACUUCUAAGUAUCACUAGAAGUUUUAUCUUGUGUACUAUUAUUAAAAGCAUUCGUUUAUUUGGCAAAAUAUAUUUGAAGUCGGUUACCUGAAUUUAUUAUCUUCAUUUUGUUUGGGUUGGUGAACAUGUUGAAGUGAAAGAUCCCAUGUUAGUAGAGGACCAAUUAAACAAAUCUGAGCAACCAAUUGCAGAUUCAGAAAAUUCAAUGAGCAGCGCUGAUGAAGUCGACACUUGUACUCCACUUGAAACUAGGCAAAACAUAUGCAGGACUGCGAAUGCCAUCCGUGUACUUUCUACCUUAGGCUUCGUGGUUACCGUGGAAGUAAUAUUGGCUGUUGUAAACCUGAGCAUGUCUUUGAGUCUGGAUAUACACGAGAUGCUGGGACCAGAGUUUUAUGUGCUAGUUGCUGAGAAAGAAGCUGAACGUCGAAGCUCAUUAGGAAAAAAGAGAUGAUCAUGUUAUUUAAUUUACUUCACAAGGUUUAUACUCU